rnacentral:rRNA from 1 species
GCUGGCGGCGCGCUUAACACAUGCAAGUCGAACGAGAAAGCCCCGCAAGGGGUGAGUAAAGUGGCGUACGGGUGGGUAACACGUGGGUAAUCUGCUCUUUGGUGGGGAAUAACCCUGGGAAAUCGGGGCUAAUACCGCAUAAGCUCGCAAGAGGAAAGGUGCAAAUCGCCGAAGAAGGAGCCCGCGGCUGAUUAGCUAGUUGGUGAGGUAAUGGCUCACCAAGGCGAAGAUCGGUAGCCGGCCUGAGAGGGCACACGGCCACACUGGCACUGAAACACGGGCCAGACUCCUACGGGAGGCAGCAGUGGGGAAUCUUGCACAAUGGGGGCAACCCUGAUGCAGCGACGCCGCGUGAGCGAUGAAGCCCUUCGGGGUGUAAAGCUCUUUCGGCAGGAACGAUAAUGACGGUACCUGAAGAAGAAGCUGCGGCUAACUACGUGCCAGCAGCCGCGGUAAUACGUAGGCAGCGAGCGUUGUUCGGAGUUACUGGGCGUAAAGCGUGCGUAGGCGGUUUUGUAAGUUUGGUGUGAAAUCUC